AGAGUUUGAUCAUGGCUCAGGACGAACGCUGGCGGCGUGCCUAAUACAUGCGAGUCGAGCGCAGGAAGCAGGCAGAUCCCCUUCGGGGGUGAUGCCUGUGGAAUGAGCGGCGGACGGGUGAGUAACACGUGGGCAACCUGCCUGUAAGAUCGGAAUAACCCCGGGAAACCGGGGCUAAUGCCGGGUAAUCCUUUUUCUCGCAUGAGAGAGAGGUGAAAGAUGGCCUCUGGCUAUCACUUACAGAUGGGCCCGCGGCGCAUUAGCCAGUUGGUGAGGUAAUGGCUCACCAAGGCAACGAUGCGUAGCCGACCUGAGAGGGUGAUCGGCCACACUGGGACUGAGACACGGCCCAGACUCCUACGGGAGGCAGCAGUAGGGAAUCUUCCGCAAUGGACGAAAGUCUGACGGAGCAACGCCGCGUGAACGAUGAAGGUCUUCGGAUCGUAAAGUUCUGUUGUUAGGGAAGAACAAGUACCGUGCGAAUAGAGCGGUACCUUGACGGUACCUAACGAGGAAGCCCCGGCUAACUACGUGCCAGCAGCCGCGGUAAUACGUAGGGGGCAAGCGUUGUCCGGAAUUAUUGGGCGUAAAGCGCGCGCAGGCGGUUUCUUAAGUCUGAUGUGAAAGCCCACGGCUCAACCGUGGAGGGUCAUUGGAAACUGGGGAACUUGAGGACAGAAGAGGAGAGUGGAAUUCCACGUGUAGCGGUGAAAUGCGUAGAUAUGUGGAGGAACACCAGUGGCGAAGGCGACUCUCUGGUCUGUUUCUGACGCUGAGGUGCGAAAGCGUGGGUAGCAAACAGGAUUAGAUACCCUGGUAGUCCACGCCGUAAACGAUGAGUGCUAGGUGUUAGGGGGCUUCCACCCCUUAGUGCUGAAGUUAACGCAUUAAGCACUCCGCCUGGGGAGUACGGCCGCAAGGUUGAAACUCAAAGGAAUUGACGGGGGCCCGCACAACCGGAGGAGCCCUGUGUAUUAAUUCCAUUCUGUCGCAAAGAGACCUUUCCAAGGUGUUUAAAA
rnacentral:rRNA from 1 species